UACAGAGGUCUCAAGCGUUGUUCGGAUUCAUUGGGCGUAAAGGGUGCGUAGGCGGCGCGGUAAGUCGGGUGUGAAAUCUUGGAGCUUAACUCCGAAACUGCAUUCGAUACUGCCGUGCUUGAGGACUGGAGAGGAGACUGGAAUUUACGGUGUAGCGGUGAAAUGCGUAGAUAUCGUAAGGAAGACCAGUGGCGAAGGCGGGUCUCGUGGACAGUUCCUGACGCUGAGGCACGAAGGCCAGGGGAGCAAACGGGG
rnacentral:rRNA from 1 species